UCAAUUUCCACACUUUCUUUAUUUUCUACUUCACCAUUUUUUUCAUUCUUUUCAACUUCUUCCUCACUCCACUCCCCAACUUCACCAUCAAUGUUAUCCUCUAUUUUUUUCUCCUCAUCUAUUUUCUCGUCCUCUCUUUUUUCACUCUCAUCUCUUUUUUUACUCUCACUAAUCAACUCCCUUCCACUUCUCGUCGUUAUCGCUUUACAAUGCUCUUUUGGAUUCGUUUGCAUGUUCGCCGAAAAAGAUGGUCCGGGUUGUUGUUC
rnacentral:lncRNA from 1 species